UUAGUUUAUUUCAGCCCUUAUUACUGCAUGGACUCAUACCUCACUCAACCAAAUCGCAUGCUCACUGAAUCUCAAAAGAAUCAGUCAAUGUCAGAAGGAUAUCGGGAGCUACUCGAGUUUGAAUUACUCAUCUCCAGACAAUGGAGGCACAUUAACUUAAUCGACGAAAUUAACCCAUCUCAGUGUUGUCUACUACAAGGUGAAAAGUACUUGAUGAAUGGCUACGUUUACAAACAGAUGAGCCCCACCGCUUACUUUGAUGUUCUUAGAGAUUAUAGAAACGAGAGCAUGCCACUAAAUAAUAUUGGGGGAUGGUAUUUUGAAAACGUUUGCAAAAAUGUCAUCAUUGAUAUUGGGUUUGGGCCUGGUGCCUUGAGACGAUCCGGAUAUGUAAAAGAAGGAAAGCCUUACUUAUUUCUCGGAAAAGAUUUUGAAAACGGAACUCCAGGAGUCCCUUCGAUGGUUGUGGACUACAACGAACCUGGAUCUCAACUGACAUUUCAUUGGUUCAAGCACAAUGUCAUGUGUCGUGACCAUCCCUCCAUUUGCGGCAGGGACAGUCCAAAAAGAAAGGAACGAAACCAACAAAUGAAAAAGGGCGAUAUGGGACGUGGAAGUAAGAAAUC